CCCCUCCUACCACCUUCUUCCACGCGUCGGAGCCCCGUCGGAGCCACCCCACUGCCGGCCACCGCGCCCCAGCUCGCCUCGCACCAUCCCCGCCCCUCCUCGCCGCCCCACUUUCCCCUACUCCGGAUCCGAGGCGGCCUCGGCCCCUCCCACGCUGCCCAAUCCUCUCCUACGCCAGAUCCGUCGCCGCGCCUCCUCGCCGCCCCACUCUCCCCUGGCGAUGGAUCCGGGCACCACCGCCAGGCCGCACACGGGAGGCGACGAAUCGGACCUCCACCGCCACGCUCGUGAAUGGCCGGACCGAUUUGUGCACGACCUUCACCCAUCGGGCCGCCCCUCGCCGGCGUCUUCCUCGGAUAAAGGACGACCGCACCGCCGCCACGAGCUGCAGUCCCGGGGAGCAACCAACUCCACUCCGGCUUCCGGUUCGUGUUGUUCGUUUGUGCUCCAUGUGCGGUUCAUUUUCAAGAUCCUUGGCUGCCUCAAUCCGGAUCCAGCACCUCCGCCCUGACCCGCGCCUCCGGCGGCCUUGCAAUCAUUGUCGGCUAGGAAUGAGCCUCCAUGGUUGCCGAUCUGGGACUCGUCUGCGCCAAGCGGGAUGGAGCACGGGCCGCGCCUUGCUUGCAGUUCACCGAGCACCGACAAUAGAACGAUGGCAAGCCGGUCGACAGCAUGCACGCUUGCAGUUCCUUCGGCAGCACGCCCUCGGGGACGAAAUGCAACUGGCCAUGACAUGGGAAGACGACGGAUCAAGAUCUCUAGUGCAAGGGCGCGUGUAGUUCAGCCCUGCAGAGACGAGCAGUGCACUUGGCGGAGAUGCGCCCAAAGUCCCAGGUCAGGGCUCCCCCCGCCCGCCUGCGUCCACACUCAUCUGCAGCCACGGUAUCUCACGGGGAAAACCGUCCCUUACCCCUCUCCCUCCUCCUUGGCUCCCGUGUGCAGUGAGCAGUGCAGAAGGACCGCCGGCGGCCGCAUAGGAGCAGUGCAGUUUUUCAGCAGCGGGCGACGCGUGCUGGAUGUGUGUUUUUGAUAUGUGUGUGCGGGCAUAUCAGAAGUUCGUUUCCGCUACCUGGGAGGUUCAUUGUGCAUAUUUUUGAACUAUUUCGUACAACAAGAAAUUAUAAGGUACCUCCAAGGACGGGUUCUAUACUUGGUUCCAUUGAAAAAAUGGGUGCUGCUAGUGCAAGUUCGGGUACAUGCCUGGGCAUGGAAUUUGACUCCUCCAACAUGCAGUUCGGUGUGGGAGGAAAAAAUGGACCCAAUUGCUUUUUAAUUUAGUUUUUAAGAAUUUUUUCCGCAAGAAAUGAGGACUCUAUUUGUAUUUUUUUAAAAUCACAGCAUUUCAUUUUGUAGAA